AGAGUUUGAUCCUGGCUCAGAUUGAACGCUGGCGGCAUGCCUUACACAUGCAAGUCGAACGGCAGCACGGGAGCAAUCCUGGUGGCGAGUGGCGAACGGGUGAGUAAUAUAUCGGAACGUGCCCAGUCGUGGGGGAUAACGCAGCGAAAGCUGUGCUAAUACCGCAUACGAUCUCUGGAUGAAAGCGGGGGACUCGCAAGGGCCUCGCGCGAUUGGAGCGGCCGAUAUCAGAUUAGCUAGUUGGUGGGGUAAAAGCUCACCAAGGCGACGAUCUGUAGCUGGUCUGAGAGGAUGAUCAGCCACACUGGAACUGAGACACGGACCAGACUCCUACGGGAGGCAGCAGUGAGGAAUAUUGCACAAUGGGGGGAACCCUGAUGCAGCAACGCCGCGUGGAGGAUGACGCAUUUCGGUGUGUAAACUCCUUUUAUAUGUCAAGAAAAUGACGGUAGCAUAUGAAUAAGCACCGGCUAACUCCGUGCCAGCAGCCGCGGUAAUACGGAGGGUGCAAGCGUUACUCGGAAUCACUGGGCGUAAAGGACGCGUAGGCUGGUUAGAAAGUCAGGUGUGAAAGCCUACAGCUCAACUGUAGAACUGCACUUGAAACUUCUAAUCUAGAGUAUGGGAGGGGGAGAUGGAAUUAGUGGUGUAGGGGUAAAAUCCGUAGAGAUCACUAGGAAUACCAAAAGCGAAGGCGAUCUUCUGGAACAGUACUGACGCUGAGGCGCGAAAGCGUGGGGAGCAAACAGGAUUAGAUACCCUGGUAGUCCACGCCCUAAACGAUGAAUGUUAGUCGUCGGAUAGCUAGUCUAUUCGGUGAUGCAGUUAACACAUUAAACAUUCCGCCUGGGGAGUACGGUCGCAAGAUUAAAACUCAAAGGAAUAGACGGGGACCCGCACAAGUGGUGGAGCAUGUGGUUUAAUUCGAAGAUACGCGAAGAACCUUACCUGGCCUUGACAUUGAUAGAAUCCGCUAGAGAUAGUGGAGUGCCUUUCGGGGAACUUGAAAACAGGUGCUGCACGGCUGUCGUCAGCUCGUGUCGUGAGAUGUUGGGUUAAGUCCCGCAACGAGCGCAACCCUCGUUCUUAGUUACUAACGGUUCGGCCGAGGACUCUAAGAAGACUGCCUUCGCAAGGAGGAGGAAGGUGAGGACGACGUCAAGUCAUCAUGGCCCUUACGGCCAGGGCAACACACGUGCUACAAUGGCCGGUACAAAGGGUAGCAAGACCGCGAGGUGGAGCCAAUCCCAAAAAGCCGGUCUCAGUUCGGAUUGGAGUCUGCAACUCGACUCCAUGAAGUUGGAAUCGCUAGUAAUCGUGGAUCAGCAUGCCACGGUGAAUACGUUCCCGGGCCUUGUACACACCGCCCGUCACACCACGGGAGUCGAUUGUACCUGAAAUCGGUGGGCUAACCUUCGGGAGGCAGCCGCUUAUGGUAUGGUCGGUAACUGGGGUGAAGUCGUAACAAGGUAACC
rnacentral:rRNA from 1 species